rnacentral:rRNA from 1 species
UACGGGGGGGGCAAGCGUUGUUCGGAAUUACUGGGCGUAAGGGCUCGUAGGCGGCCAACUAAGUCGGAUGUGAAAUCCCCAGGCUCAACUUGGGAACUGCAUCCGAUACUGGAUGGCUUGAAUUCGGGAGAGGGAUGCAGAAUUCCAGGUGUAGCGGUGAAAUGCGUAGAUAUCUGGAGGAAUACCGGUGGCGAAGGCGGCAUCCUGGACCGACAUUGACGCUGAGGAGCGAAAGCCAGGGGAGCAAACGGG